GGUCGUGGCUCAGUGGUAGAGCACUUGCCUAGCAUGUGUGAGGCACUGGGUUCAAUCCUCAGCACCA
rnacentral:tRNA from 1 species